ensembl:snRNA U6 U6 spliceosomal RNA
AUACUUUAGCAGCACAUACACUAGAGUUGGGAUGAUGCAGAGAAGAUUGACAUGGCCCUUGUGCAAGGAUGACACUCAAAUUCAUGAAGUGCUCCACAUUUUU